rnacentral:rRNA from 1 species
GAGCGGGCAUCGCAAGAUGUCAGCGGCAGACGGGAGAGUAACACGUGGGAACGUGCCCUUCAGUUCGGAACAACCCAGGGAAACUUGGGCUGAUACCGGAUACGUCCGUAAGGAGAAAGAUUUAUCGCUGAAGGAUCGGCCCGCGUCUGAUUAGCUAGUUGGUGGGGUAAUGGCUCACCAAGGCGACGAUCAGUAGCUGGUCUGAGAGGAUGAUCAGCCUCACUGGGACUGAGACACGGCCCAGACUCCUACGGGAGGCAGCAGUGGGGAAUAUUGGACAAUGGGCGCAAGCCUGAUCCAGCCAUGCCGCGUGGGUGAUGAAGGCCCUAGGGUUGUAAAGCCCUUUCGGCGGGGAAGAUAAUGACGGUACCCGCAGAAGAAGCCCCGGCUAACUUCGUGCCAGCAGCCGCGGUAAU